AUUGAACGCUGGCGGCAUGCCUUACACAUGCAAGUCGAACGGUAACAGGUCUUCGGAUGCUGACGAGUGGCGAACGGGUGAGUAAUACAUCGGAACGUGCCUAGUAGAGGGGGAUAACUACUCGAAAGAGUGGCUAAUACCGCAUGAGAUCUACGGAUGAAAGCAGGGGAUCGCAAGACCUUGUGCUACUAGAGCGGCCGAUGGCAGAUGAGGUCGUUGGUGGGAUAAAAGCUUACCAAGCAGACGAUCUGUAGCUGGUCUGAGAGCACGAUCAGCCACACGGGGACUGAGACACGGCCCAGACUCCAACGGGAGGCAGCAGUGGGGAAUUUUGGACAAUGGGCGCAAGCCUGAUCCAGCAAUGCCGCGUGCAGGAUGAAGGCCUUCGGGUUGUAAACUGCUUUUGUACGGGACGAAAAGCCCUGGGUUAAUACCCUGGGGUCAUGACGGUACCGUAAGAAUAAGCACCGGCUAACUACGUGCCAGCCGCCGCAGUAAAAC
rnacentral:rRNA from 1 species